rnacentral:rRNA from 1 species
GACGAACGCUGGCGGUGUGCUUAACACAUGCAAGUGGAGCGACGAACCAGAGCUUGCUCUGGGGCAGAGCCGCGAACGGGUGAGUAACACGUGGGUAACGUACCCCGAUUACCGGGACAACCCGAGGAAACUCGGGCUAAUACCGGAUGUGCUCCCUCCCCAUGAGGGGAGUGAGUAAAGGAAGCCUCGGCCUCCGAAUCGGGAGCGGCCCGCGGCCUAUUAGUUUGUUGGUGGGUAACGGCCUACCAAGACUGCGAUAGGUAGCUGGUCUGAGAGGACGAUCAGCCACACUGGGACUGAGACACGGCCCAGACUCCUACGGGAGGCAGCAGUGGGGAAUCUUGCGCAAUGCGCGAAAGCGUGACGCAGCAACACCGCGUGGGGGAAGACGGCCUU